CCUGAUCCAUUUUAAGGCCCUCUCUCAUUCAUUCUUUUGCCUGCACUUUUUUGCCCUUCCGGAAGCCAAGUCGGGGAUGGGGCGGUGGGGCCUGCUACGUUUAGAAGGGACUUUAGACAUAGCUGCAGUCAGCUAGGUGGCAAAGUGGAUAGAGCCCCGGGGCCUGGAGUGGAUUUCUGAUUUCAAAUUCGGCCUCAGACUCUAGCUGUGUGACCCUGAGCAAGUCACUGUUUGCCUCAGUUUCCUCAUCUGUAAAAUGAGCUGGAGAAAAUAAUGGCAAGCCACUCCAACAUCUCUGCCAAGAAAACCCCAAAUGGGUCACGUAGAGUCGGACACGACUAAACAGAAGCAGACAUGCCGUGGGCCCCGAAGCCAGAGUUUAGGUUUGGGAGGUGGGGGGUCGGGGCAGAUAAUGAGAUUUCCCCACGAGCACGACCCUGCGCCGCUCGCGUUCCAAGGGAUGGUGUAGCUAAUGAAAAUGCAAAGGGCUUUUCUAGGAGGGUCUGCAGCGCAGGGUGGCAGAACCAGCACCAGCCAGCACGAGGGGGCUCCGGAUGCCGCCUCUGCUCCCCGGGCUCAGCCACUUGGCGUCUUAGGGCCUGGUUUCCUUAUCUGACAAAGGAGGGGAUUGAACCGCGUAGAUCUGUCAGACUUUAAAGCUCCAGGUUCUGAGCGUCGUUAUUGGAGGGAUCUGUUUAGAGACCCCAAAGUAGGCGCAUUCUGAAAGAAUUGGGGACUGACGACAUGGGACUUCGGUGCAGAGCCCGGAAGCAUAGGCACACACAGGUCUCCUCUUCACCAUGCCAUUUCUUGAAAAAGAGGAAAACAGUGAACCUAUGUUGAUGAAAAAUGAAACACGCCUGCAAAUCUUAAAGAACAAGGAGCAGAGAAAGAGACUUGUUCAUGAAAUUUGUACUUUUUUAGAUAGCAGCCAGUCUGUCCAAGAAAUUGAUGCUUUAAGGACAGAAAACAGGAAAUUAAAAAAUGCGAACUCAAGGCUUCGAUAUAAGACAAAGGAUUGGGCAUUAAAGAAAGAAGAAUAUGAAAAUGAGAUUGAGAGGCUGUCUAGUGAGAUAUCAAAUUAUUUAAAUGCCACCAAUUUUUGGUAUCAAGACACAGAGCUUCUUAAUGAUGAGCAUAAUAAUAUACCAAGGGAACAGGCAAACAAUGUAAGACACACAAGUAAAAAACACUUAUCACAGGACGAAUAUGAACAAUAGAAGAGCAGCUAGCUACUAUUUUUAAAGGCCUGGACAACAGAUUGUUUUAUGUUGCUUCAAGUUUGUCUUCUCAUUGAAUUACUCAAUUGUAUGAAUGAAUUAAAGAGACAUGUUAUCUCAGUUCUUUCAAGUUAGUAUAAUUUUGGUUAAAUGUUUAUGGGGAGUAGCUCUUAAGAUACUGAUUAACAGUGUUGUGUAGUGGACUGAAAUCUGACCUUAGAGCCAGGAAGAUUUGGAUUCAAGUCCUGCCUCUGACUCAUGGUCAGUGUUCAAGGAAAUUUUUUUCUUAAAAGGCAUUUGGGGUUAAGUGACUUGCCAAGGUCAUGCAGCUAGUAAGUGUCUGAGGUCGGAUUUGAAUUCAGGUCUUUCUGACACCAGGGCCAGUGCUCUAUUCACUGUGCCACCUAGCUGCCCCUUCUAGGGGAAUGAAGUUGCAGAGAAAGUACCAACUUGCUUUGGUAGAAUGAGUUCCUUUCUUGGAAUUCCAAAAUCAUUGAGAUCACAGGUCUAUCACUAAAUAGUACCCUAAUAUGUAUAAGUUAGCAGGCCCUUCAUCUAGGGUUAACUACAAGUUUGUAUCACUUUGUAGAAAAUCUCUGGAUCAUCUGGUUAGAGCAAUAUGACCUAAAUCUUAAACAACAGUGAAAUUUUAGACAUUUUUUUUACAGUAAGAAAAUAUUCAUAAAUAUGCCUCUAUAAAAAUACAAGAUACUUGAACCAUGUAAGUGAAAAAGGGAUCAAUAUGUUUUAUUAUUUCUUGCUAUUAAAAAAUGAAUGUCAGAGGCCUUGGUACUUAGGUGAUUGAUUUAUUAGCAUUCACAUUUAGGCUCAGCAGAAUGGGUAUGAACUGCAG
ensembl:lncRNA